rnacentral:lncRNA from 1 species
CCAACUCAGGGGAAAUAGCCUCCACAAUAGCUAUCGUACCAUUCUCAAACAAAUCAACCUUCUUCACCCUGUCCUUAUCAAGAUACUCCAAGAACCUAGAGUAAGACAUCCUAGAGGAAGAAACCCCCUGUUCAUCGGCAUAGGCUGUCCCACUCCCCAACAAAGCAGUACCAACUCCAACAUUUCCAAGCAGCUUCUUAAGAAACCCUCUUCUUCCUUCAUGCUGCUUCUCGCUCAAAGAUGCCUUUACAACGGCUACUUUUGGUUUCUUUUCCAAUGAUCGAAAACUCGAGUU